UAAACUUACUGCUACUUUUAAUCAAAUUUACACAUGCAAGCAUCCACACACCAGUGAAAUACGCCCUAACACAGUAUAAAUGGAGCAGGUAUCAGGCACAACCGCCAGCCAAAAACACCAAGCUUUGCCACACCCACACGGGCCCUCAGCAGUGAUAAACAUUAAGCAAUAAGCGAACACACCAAACUAAAGCUUGACUUAGUUAUGAUUAACAGGGCCGGUAAACCUCGUGCCAGCCACCGCGGUUACACGGCGGGCCCAAAGCAGCAGACUCUCGGCGUAAAUAGUGGCCAGAAUAAUUACCCCCACAUUAAAAACUAAACCAUACCCUAACCGUAAAACACAGGCUAAAUGAAAUCAAGCACUUUUAAUAACAGGUAAUUUGACCCACGAAAACUAAGAAACAAACUAGGAUUAGAUACCCUACUAUGCUUAGUCGUUAAUAUGAUAUUAUAGUACUAAAAUAUCCGCCAGAAAACUACGAGCGAAAAGCUUAAAACUCAAAGGACUUGGCGGUGCUCCAUACCGACUUAGAGGAGCCUGUCCUAUAAUCGAUACCCCACGCUAAACCC
rnacentral:rRNA from 1 species